AAACUAUCUAAACUAAUGAAUAAUCUUUUUCCUUUCAUUCAGACAUUCAUUCAUAAAGGUGAAGGCAGAUUUCGGUCGGUGAAACAAGUCCUCAAUCGUGUGGAUCAUUUGUGGAGUGUGAUGGAAAAUGAAAAGAAGCCAGAUGAUCAGAGUGAGGAAGGUUGUGGUGCAAUCAGCUGGAGGAAAGAGUGCUGCAGGUGCUAGUCAGUCGGCCGAAGGAAAUAGUGCUGCAGCAGGUGCUAAUCAAUCAUCUGAAGGAUACAACGCUGCAGGUUGUAGCCGUUUGGCUAAAGGAAAGAGCAUUGCCUAGACUUUUCGAAGUCAUGUUGCGUUGACAUAUGAUCUGGACAAAAGAGAAAGCUUCCUA